UCCAUAAUAUCUCUUGUAUCUAUCACCUUCUUUUCACCCACAUAACAUCACCCUAGUUCAGAACAUUUUCAUCUCUAUCCAGGACUAUUGCAAUAACUUCUUAUUGGGUCUCUGCUUCAAAUCUCUCGCCUCUCAUAUCCAUCUUCCAUAUAGCUACUAAAGUAAUUUUCUUAUAAAGGAGGGUCUGAUCAUGUCACAUCCCUGCUCAAAAAACUCCAGUGGCUCCCUAUUACUUUUAGAAUCAAACACAAACUCCUUUAUCAUUUAAAAUCUUUUACAACCUGCCUGCAAACUCUUGCCAACUUUAUUAGACAUUAUUUCUUCUCAGUUUUCUUUUCACACAAUAUUCCAUUGCAUAGAGUGUUUCCACCCACCCCUGGAAUGUAUUUCCAACUGUAAUGGAGGGUGGUUUGGGGGAUGGGAUUAGAUGUUUAAUUGUAGGCCAGUAUCAGAAGAAUAACUGUUUUGGGAAGGCCAACUGUAGGAUGACAGGCUAACAGGUCCAGUCUAGGCAGAGCCUGUCCUGAGGUGACAAACACAGACCACUAUAUAACAGGGAUGGAUGUUGGAUGUAUUAUGAUAAGGAAAGGUGAAAUGGGAAUUUGGGAUAAUCCUAAGCUAAUGUCAACUAUCUAAACCCCCCAGAUCUAAAUGUCCUGUCACGAGGAGUCUUCACAGAUUUGAACUACGCUGAUCCUUACCUACCUAAGAACCAGACCCUAUAAAUAAAUCUACACUAACCAAAAAAAAAAAAAAACAAAAACCCUUCUGAUGGUAAUAGAGUUAGUAGGGUUUGGCAGUUAGUCAGGACAGGGCACAGGGAGAGAUCCUGGAUCCAGAAGGACCCCAGACCCAAUUUUAUAGACAGAUGGUUCAGGAUCACACCAGGAAGCUCUGAAGAUAUCCACCAGUCAGCAGAGAAGCAGCCAAAUAUGCAUGCCGUGGAGACUUUGAAGAGAAACACUGUAGAGAGGCAGAGGAAAAAGACUUCUAAAAAAGCAGACAUGCACAAAAUUCUGGUCUCAUGCAUUUAUUUACUUGAACUUCUAGAGCUUGCUAGAAUGGACCUUCUCUGGAUUGAUUCCUGCUGCCAUUUGCAACUCUCCUGGAGGAAAAAAAAAAUUCAAUGGAUAAAUAAACUGAAUCUCUCCAUGAUGAAUGAAUACGAGAGAUGAGAUGGGAGUCAUGCUGACUUUGUAUGAUAAUGGCACUACAGUAAUAAUACCUGAAUAAAGUUUUUGGAAACCUGGGCUGCA
ensembl:lncRNA